AUUGAACGCUGGCGGCAGGCUUAACACAUGCAAGUCGAGCGGAGAGAGGUAGCUUGCUACUGAUCUUAGCGGCGGACGGGUGAGUAAUGCUUAGGAAUCUGCCUAUUAGUGGGGGACAACAUUUCGAAAGGAAUGCUAAUACCGCAUACGUCCUACGGGAGAAAGCAGGGGAUCUUCGGACCUUGCGCUAAGAGAUGAGCCUAAGUCGGAUUAGCUAGUUGGUGGGGUAAAGGCCUACCAAGGCGACGAUCUGUAGCGGGUCUGAGAGGAUGAUCCGCCACACUGGGACUGAGACACGGCCCAGACUCCUACGGGAGGCAGCAGUGGGGAAUAUUGGACAAUGGGCGGAGGCCUGAUCCAGCCAUGCCGCGUGUGUGAAGAAGGCCUUAUGGUUGUAAAGCACUUUAAGCGAGGAGGAGGCUACUUUAGUUAAUACCUAGAGAUAGUGGACGUUACUCGCAGAAUAAGCACCGGCUAACUCUGUGCCAGCCGCCGCAGUAAAAC
rnacentral:rRNA from 1 species